rnacentral:rRNA from 1 species
GAGCUAAAAACUAUUACUGGAAAUAAGGUACGCCAGGGAUAACAGGUCAAAGUUUAGUCGCAGCUCUAAUGCGGAUAAACUAUUGACACCUCCAUGUCGUCUCACCAUACC